UACGUAGGGUGCGAGCGUUAAUCGGAAUUACUGGGCGUAAAGUGUGCGCAGGCGGUUUCGCAAGUCAAGUGUGAAAGCCCUGGGCUUAACCUGGGAACUGCGCUUGAAACUACGACUCGAGUAUGGCAGAGGAAGGUAGGAAUUCCACGUGUAGCGGUGAAAUGCGUAGAGAUGUGGAGGAACACCGAUGGCGAAGGCAGCCUUCUGGGCCAAUACUGACGCUCAUGCACG
rnacentral:rRNA from 1 species